rnacentral:rRNA from 1 species
UACGGAAGGCAGCAGUGGGGAAUAUUGCACAAUGGGCGCAAGCCUGAUGCAGCCAUGCCGCGUGUACGAAAAAGGCCUUCGGGUUGUAAAGUACUUUCAGUCGUGAGGAAGGUGUUAAGGUUAAUAACCUUAGCAAUUGACGUUAGCGACAGAAGAAGCACCGGCUAACUCCGUGCCAGCAGCCGCGGUAAUACGGAGGGUGCGAGCGUUAAUCGGAAUUACUGGGCGUAAAGGGCACGCAGGCGGUUAAUUAAGUUGGAUGUGAAAUCCCCGGGCUUAACCUGGGAAUGGCAUUCAAGACUGGUUAGCUAGAGUCUUGUAGAGGGGGUUAGAAUUCCAUGUGUAGCGGUGAAAUGCGUAGAGAUGUGGAGGAUACCGGUGGCGAAGGCGGCCCCUGGACAAGACUGACGCUCAUGUGCGAAAGCGUGGGGAGCAAACAGGGAUUAGAUAC